rnacentral:rRNA from 1 species
UACGGAGGGGGCUAGCGUUGUUCGGAAUUACUGGGCGUAAAGCGCGCGUAGGCGGACCUGCAAGUCGGGGGUGAAAGCCCGAGGCUCAACCUCGGAACUGCCUUCGAUACUGCGGGUCUCGAGUCCGGGAGAGGUGAGUGGAAUUCCCAGUGUAGCGGUGAAAUGCGUAGAUAUUGGGAGGAACACCAGUGGCGAAGGCGGCUCGCUGGACCGGUUCUGACGCUGAGGCGCGAA